UCUGCCCCUCCCCUGCUCGUGCUCUGUCUCUCUCUCCCUCCCUCUCAAUAAUAAACAUUUAAAAAAAAAAGAAGAAGAAGAAGAAUUUGGAAGCAGUCAGUUUAUGCAGACAAUUCAGAGUCUGACUGGCUUGCAUAUCUCAGCUGUCCCCCUCUUCCCGCUCUACUCGAAUGAUCUGGUUUUUCUGGAUGUCUUAGAAUUCUUGUAUUUGUUGAGUCCAUAGCCUCAGGUGCUCCCAUGUCUGCUCCAAGUGCAUGGGAAGAAUAAACACCUGAGAAAAAUGUGCCCCUGUCAAAAUACAGGAUGGACUCGGUUGUGACGAGUGCCUUGGGAGUCCGGGUAUACAGACUGGCCGGGAGAUUAAGUGAGGGUUUCUUUAACAUGGUAAACUUAAAGGGAAUCAGGGGACAUUGAGACUUUCCAGGGAUUUGUUUCAGCUGAAAGCAGAUUGUGAGAAAUUCUUAACUUAGGUGCUGCCAUCCUUUGUUCAUAUUUAUUUUUUCUUUCUUUCUUCUACAGAGCAGAAUAGGCUAAAAGAACAAAAUAAAACAAACAAACAAAAACAAACUACCCACCAGAACUAAGAGGGGAAUGGCCAUUUCUAUUGUAAGGUUAUAAAAACAAACCUAAGUAACACCUGCACAUAAGGACCCCUGGGUCAGAAAUUUAGAGAGGAGGAUUCCAAAGGAUCCAGGGAAAAAAUUAGGUGAGCUCUACGACCAAGGAGUCUACUAUAAAUUUAGCUGAUGAAGUUAGAAGAAUAUUUAAAUCCAACCUAUGAAAAUAUAUGAACAAUGAAACAAUGUAUCCAGAAGAUAGAAGGAUUGGUGUUAAUUGGAGAACAAGUAUAAACGUCUCGUGGACUGUUAGAAACCAGUAGAAAGAUUACCAAAAUGAAGCAUUGUCACAGGAAAACUAGAGAGAAGUGUAGAUUUUUGAAAGGUAUAGAUUUUUGAAAAGUGAAAAGCUUGACAUUAAUUUCUGGGAAACACCUAUGGCUGAUUAUGACACAGCUCCUUUGUGAAUAGGAAGAGAGCAGCACUGGCCUGGCCACAGCAUGGUUUGCUAAGAGGCAGUCAAGGGAAUGUAGAUUCUGGCUUAAAAUCAAAGGAGAGAGGAGUCGUAGUUUAUCUGUUCACCGUUCUUAUCAGCAAAUCAGAAGAUGACAUAGGCCAGGCUUUUGUUGCCAUAGAAGGUUCUGGACCAGGAAGGGGAGGCAAAGAAGGGACAGAUAGGAGGAAAGGAAGGAAGGAAGGGGAGAUGGAGGGCUCAAGAUCCAAGGGACUCGAAGCUGUCAGAAUCCAAGUCCAAAAUCACCCCGCGAGUGGGACAUGCAGGCCAGCAUGUGUGAUGGCAGUGGUGAAUAUGGAAGGGGUGGGAAUCCAUUAUUGAAUGAAUAUUCACGGAACACUUACUGUGUGUCAGGAGCACUUACUGUGUGUCAGGUAUUGCAUUCUGGGUUGGGGGGGAGGGAAUGCUGCAGGGAAUCAAGCAGACAAGGGCCCGGCCCUCAGGGGGCUGCUAGUGAGGGAGGUAGGAGGCAAACAUAUCUGGAAUUUCUCAGGAGGUGAUAGUGUUAUGGGGAAGAAAACAGGUGGGGUGGCUCAUUUACCUGGAGUGGUCAGGGAAGGCCCCUCUGAGAUUUGCAGCAUUUGGGACUGAAGGCAGUGAGGGUGAAGGAACGCUCAACCCAGGGAAAGUGGGGAAAGUGGUUCCCCAAGGUGUGUGUCGGGUCUGGGGCAGCCUUGAGGAGGCCAGGGCUGCCCGGAGCAGAGUGAGCAAGGGGAAGCAGGGGGGAAUUGAUGCUGGAAGAAGAUGCAGGCUGGAAAGCAGACAAAGGAGAGCCCGGAACCUGCUGUUCAUCCAAGUAAGUGACACGAUCGGGGACUCAAUACUCAAGAGUCCUUUAUGACAGUCUUCAAAUAAGUUCCAAAGUCCAGACCAUAACCAUCCAAGUUCCAGAGGAGGCAGCUUUUAGUUCCGCGUGUGGCAGCCUAGCACUUAAGCUGCCUAGCAGUGCUGUGUGCUGCACGGUGAGGUCUUUAUCUUCAGAAGUGCUGGACGGGCAAUGUCCCUGCAUUGAGCCAGGUUUUACAUCUAAAAGCCUCCGAUGCCCCUUUCGAUGCGAACAUUCUGCAGCUUCCCCCCAGAGAACAAGAGUCUCCUGACUUUGGCCCUGACUUUCAGCGGGAUGGCACAUGGGGAAGCAGAAGGGGGAGGUGGUGGUGAGUGGGGUUAACGGGAAGGAGAAAUGAAGGGCUGGAGACAGGUUCACGGAGACACGGUGUUUGGGCCGGGGGGAGCAGUUGGAGUCCAUAGGAAUGUGCCCAGAAAAGUAAGGGAGUCUGGCCUCGGGGGAAGGGCAGCUGGCCUUGGGGGCCUCAGGAGGGUGUCAUCCUAAGAUCAAGCAACAGAGAUCUGGACAUUGUGCUGGCGGGUCAGCCAUGGGGGAUCUUUCAGGAAAUGGUAAAGGACGAGCCUGAGAAUUUCCAGGGACAUCAGGUAGAGAUAGCAAUCAAGGUGACAAUCCAAAAUCUCUGAGGUGUGCCCCUGGGCAAGAUAAGAAAAAACUUUCCUUCUCCAGGGACCAACUUACUAGAGAAAAAGUCUAGACCCCUGAUGUAGAAAUGGGGAGGGGAAGGAGUGACUGAAACACCACAGCCACAGUUGAGGCCUAGCAGCCGGGUUCACAGAAGUAUCUGGAUGUCCUGGUACCACAAAGGUGGAAAGGAAGGACCUCUUCCAGAGAGGGCAAAGUCGGAAAAGGCCGAGAGACCCCCAGCUCUAGGACCCUUGGACGUAGGGAGUGACAACUGACCCAAUCAGACAGAAUCCGACUCCGCUUUGCUUUGACCAAAAAAUGGUGGCGUUCUUUUCCAGUUUUGAUUCACCGGACUUAACGUACUUCCCCCCAUAAUUAUAUGCUGGCCAGAUCGCAGGGACACUGGACAGAUUAAUUUAAAUCAAGACAAUUAAGGGCAGUUGAAAUUUUUAAAUUCUCUUCUCUCUGUUCUGGUUUAUAAAUAAUUUGGAAGAAGGAAAUGAAUUUCACGAAGAGCAUAAAGAUUACAUUUGAAAAUUAUGGCAUUUCUGGGCUCUGGCUUCUUGAAAACUACUCAGCAUGGCGUGCUAAUGGAUUGUCAGGCCCCAAAGAUGGCAAGCACGGAGUGAAAUGACAGUCGGAAAGGGGCUGAGACAGGCUGGAGAGCUUUUGCGAAUACGAGGGAACCUAGUUUUGAUUUGAUGUUUUACAAUCGAAAGUGUUCAAUUAUA